rnacentral:rRNA from 1 species
GUGGAGCAUGUGGCUUAAUUUGACUCAACGCGGGAAAUCUUACCGGGUCCGGACACACUGAGGAUUGACAGGCGAAAAGCAGUUAUUAACUUCUCAGUUAGUAACUGCCACAAACAUGAUAGUCCUUUCAUGAUUGUGUGAUAGGUGGUGCAUGGCCGUUCUUAGUUCGUGGAGUGAUCUGUCUGCUUAAUUGCGUUUCACAAAGAACAAUUGGCAAUAAGCUGUGGUUCGUAGUUGCCCUCUUCGGAGUUGUGCGCUCGUUCCACGCAGCCAUUUCAACUGUUCUGAAGACAACGAACGUGACCGCAACCCCUUGUUACCUCUCGACUUACGAGUGGGGUUUGCUACUGCUGGUUUGAGUUUCUUUCGGGAGGCUUGACUGUGGUGGUGUAUUCACUCAGCAGAGGUAAACUACGGGGACCGCUGGCUAACAAAUUUAAACAGAGGAAGGAUGCGGCAAUAACAGGUCUGUGAUGCCCUUAGAUGUUCCGGCUGCACACGUGCUACAAUGAUCACUACAGUAAGCUUCUUACACAAGCCGUGGGGUAGUCUCUUGUUUCAUUGAAGCUGUACUAAAGCUGAAGAGUGAGAGGUUUCUUUCGAUGGUGUUACUUCGGGUUUCAUCGUUGUUUGGGACUUUUUGCUUGGAUGUGGUGUGCAGUUGAAGGUUACUUGUAGGUAUCCGCUUACACGGCACGCCCACUUCGAAAGCAAGUGGGAAACCAAUUCGAAGUAAUGAUUUCCACUCGCACACAUAGGUAUAACUUCGGUUGUACCGUGCUCCAUAACUUCAAAGUGGGGACAGACCCUUGUUAAUUGUUGGUCUCGGUCUCAACUAGGAAUGCCUUGUACGGGUCUUGGUUCAACAAACCACCCGGAAUAUGUCCCUGCCCUUUGUACACACCGCCCGUCGCUCUUACCGAUGGACUUCUCUGUGAGGCUGAAGGACUGGCAACUGGAGCUGCUUCGGUAGUUCCCCUGCUAUGGAAAUUUAGUCGAACAGGGUGGUCUAAAG